rnacentral:rRNA from 1 species
GACGAACGCUGGCGGCGUGCUUAACACAUGCAAGUCGAACGGAAAGGCCCUGCUUUUGUGGGGUGCUCGAGUGGCGAACGGGUGAGUAACACGUGAGUAACCUGCCCUUGACUUUGGGAUAACUUCAGGAAACUGGGGCUAAUACCGGAUAGGAGCUCCUGCUGCAUGGGGGGGGUCGGAAAGUUUCGGCGGUUGGGGAUGGACUCGCGGCUUAUCAGCUUGUUGGUGGGGUAGUGGCUUACCAAGGCUUUGACGGGUAGCCGGCCUGAGAGGGUGACCGGCGACAUGGGGACUGAGAGACGGCCCAGACUCCUACGGGAGGCAGCAGUGGGGAAUAUUGCACAAUGGUCGGAAGCCUGAUGCAGCAACGCCGCGUGCGGGAUGACGGCCUUCGGGUUGUAAACCGCUUUCGCCUGUGACGAAGCGGGAGUGACGGUAAUGGGUAAAGAAGCACCGGCUAACUACGUG